rnacentral:rRNA from 1 species
UUAUGGCUCAGGAUGAACGCUAGCUACAGGCUUAACACAUGCAAGUCGAGGGGCAGCAUGGGAUUAGCUUGCUAAUCCUGAUGGCGACCGGCGCACGGGUGAGUAACGCGUAUCCAACCUUCCCCUUACUCAGGGAUAGCCCGGUGAAAACCGGAUUAACACCUGAUAGUUUCACUAGAUGGCAUCUGACGGUGAAUAAAGCUUUGCGGUAAGGGAUGGGGAUGCGUCUGAUUAGCUUGUUGGCGGGGUAACGGCCCACCAAGGCAACGAUCAGUAGGGGUUCUGAGAGGAAGGUCCCCCACAUUGGAACUGAGACACGGUCCAAACUCCUACGGGAGGCAGCAGUGAGGAAUAUUGGUCAAUGGGCGAGAGCCUGAACCAGCCAAGUAAGCGUGCAGGAUGACGGCCCUAUGGGUUGUAAACUGCUUUUGUACGGGAAUAAAGUGACCUACGUGUGGGUUUUUGCAUGUACCGUAAGAAUAAGGACCGGCUAAUUCCGUGCCAGCCGCCGC